rfam:Acyrthosiphon pisum strain LSR1 Contig2531, whole genome shotgun sequence.
UCGUGCGUCGGGCUCCGUGGUGAAGCGCGCGUGUUCGCGGCCGUCGCCGGCGGAUCACGAUACGUUACUAGGGCUACCGCCGGCUCCCAGGAGCUUAAACUCUUCUUAGAGGGACAGGCGGCGGACGAACAUAGCCGCACGAGACUGAGCGAUAACAGGUCUGUGAUGCCCCUUAGAUGUUCUGGGCCGCACGCGCGCUACACUGAAGGAAUCAGCGUGUUUAACAAUCCUGGGCCGACAGGCUUCCGGGUAACCCGCUGAACCUCCUUCGUGCUUAGGGAUCGUGGCUUGCAAUUUUUCCACGUGAACGAGGAAUUCCCAGUAAGCGCGAGUCAUCAGCUCGCGUUGAUUACGUCCCUGCCCUUUGUACACACCGCCCGUCGCUACUACCGAUUGAACGGUCGCAUUGAGGUCUUCGGAGUGGACGCGCGUUAUUCGGCCCCCUCGGGGGCUGGGUCGUCGCGCGAUCGCGAAGAUGACCGAAAUCGGCCGUUUAGAGGAAGUAAAAGUCGUAACAAGGUUUCCGUAGGUGAACCUGCGGAAGGAUCAUUA